rnacentral:rRNA from 1 species
UACGUAGGUGGCAAGCGUUGUCCGGAUUUAUUGGGUUUAAAGGGUGCGUAGGCGGUCAAGUAAGUCAGCGGUGAAAUCCGGCAGCUCAACUGUCGAUGUGCCAUUGAUACUGCAUGACUUGAGUACUGAUGAGGUAGGCGGAAUUGACGGUGUAGCGGUGAAAUGCUUAGAUAUCGUCAAGAACACCGAUAGCGAAGGCAGCUUACUAAGCAGUAACUGACGCUGAUGCACGAAAGUGUGGGGAGUCAAACAGG